rnacentral:lncRNA from 1 species
GUCACAAUAAUUCCAUAUGAGAUAUGAACUAGGCAUAAGCCAAUAUUCUCUUCUCUUAAGGUUUGGAAGUAUUAGAUUUAUGUCGAGCAUUUGCAGACCGAUUAGCUUGGAUCUUGGUUCUAUGUAUAUUAUUUUAUAGGAUAAUCUCAAAGAAUCUAGGGGAUAUAACUUUUAUCUUGCUAAAGAACAAAAAUUAUUCGAUAUUCUUUUUAGAAAGGGAGUACCUUAGUG